rnacentral:rRNA from 1 species
AUUGAACGCUGGCGGCAGGCCUAACACAUGCAAGUCGAACGAGUGGCGGACGGGUGAGUAAUGUCUGGGAAACUGCCCUUAGGUUCGGAAUAACAGCUGGAAACGGCUGCUAAUACCGGAUGCCUGAGGAUGAGCCCGCGUUGGAUUAGGUAGUUGGUGGGGUAAAGGCCUACCAAGCCGACGAUCCAUAGCUGGUCUGAGAGGAUGAUCAGCCACACUGGGACUGAGACACGGCCCAGACUCCUACUGGAGGCAGCAGUGGGGAAUAUUGGACAAUGGGCGCAAGCCUGAUGCAGCCAUGCCGCGUGUAUGAAGAAGGCCUUCGGGUUGUAAAGUACUUUCAGCGGGGAGGCGUUACCCGCAGAAGAAGCACCGGCUAACUCCGUGCCAGCAGCCGCGGUAAUUC